UGGGGAAUAUUGCACAAUGGGCGCAAGCCUGAUGCAGCAACGCCGCGUGAACGAUGAAGGUCUUCGGAUCGUAAAGUUCUGUUGCAGGGGAAGAUAAUGACGGUACCCUGUGAGGAAGCCCCGGCUAACUACGUGCCAGCAGCCGCGGUAAUACGUAGGGGGCUAGCGUUAUCCGGAUUUACUGGGCGUAAAGGGUGCGGAGGUGGUCUUUCAAGUCGGUGGUUAAAGGCUACGGCUCAACCGUAGUUAGCCUCCGAAACUGGAAGACUUGAGUGCAGGAGAGGAAAGUGGAAUUCCCAGUGUAGCGGUGAAAUGCGUAGAUAUUGGGAGGAACACCAGUAGCGAAGGCGGCUUUCUGGACUGCAACUGACACUGAGGCACGAAAGCGUGGGUAGCAAACAGG
rnacentral:rRNA from 1 species